rnacentral:rRNA from 1 species
UACGGAGGGUGCAAGCGUUGUCCGGAAUUAUUGGGCGUAAAGAGCUCGUAGGCGGUUUGUCGCGUCUGCUGUGAAAUCCCGAGGCUCAACCUCGGGCCUGCAGUGGGUACGGGCAGACUAGAGUGCGGUAGGGGAGAUUGGAAUUCCUGGUGUAGCGGUGGAAUGCGCAGAUAUCAGGAGGAACACCGGUGGCGAAGGCGGGUCUCUGGGCAGUAACUGACGCUGAGGAGCGAAAGCGUGGGGGAGCGAACAGG